GCCUCUGUAGCUCAGUUUGGUAGAGCCCUGCACAAGAAUCCCAUGCAGGGGCGCAGUUUCAAUUCCUGCCAUGGACC